AAGAUGUAACGGGGCUCAAACCACACACCGAAGCUGCGGGUGUCACGUAAGUGACGCGGUAGAGGAGCGUUCUGUAAGCCUGUGAAGGUGAGUUGAGAAGCUUGCUGGAGGUAUCAGAAGUGCGAAUGCUGACAUGAGUAACGACAAUGGGUGUGAAAAACACCCACGCCGAAAGACCAAGGGUUCCUGCGCAACGUUAAUCGACGCAGGGUUAGUCGGUUCCUAAGGCGAGGCUGAAAAGCGUAGUCGAUGGGAAACAGGUUAAUAUUCCUGUACUUCUGGUUACUGCGAUGGAGGGACGGAGAAGGCUAGGCCAGCUUGGCGUUGGUUGUCCAAGUUUAAGGUGGUAGGCUGAAAUCUUAGGUAAAUCCGGGGUUUCAAGGCCGAGAGCUGAUGACGAGUCGUCUUUUAGAUGACGAAGUGGUUGAUGCCAUGCUUCCAAGAAAAGCUUCUAAGCUUCAGGUAAUCAGGAACCGUACCCCAAACCGACACAGGUGGUCGGGUAGAGAAUACCAAGGCGCUUGAGAGAACUCGGGUGAAGGAACUAGGCAAAAUGGCACCGUAACUUCGGGAGAAGGUGCGCCGGCUAGGGUGAAGGAUUUACUCCGUAAGCUCUGGCUGGUCGAAGAUACCAGGCCGCUGCGACUGUUUAUUAAAAACACAGCACUCUGCAAACACGAAAGUGGACGUAUAGGGUGUGACGCCUGCCCGGUGCCGGAAGGUUAAUUGAUGGGGUUAGCGCAAGCGAAGCUCUUGAUCGAAGCCCCGGUAAACGGCGGCCGUAACUAUAACGGUCCUAAGGUAGCGAAAUUCCUUGUCGGGUAAGUUCCGACCUGCACGAAUGGCGUAACGAUGGCGGCGCUGUCUCCACCCGAGACUCAGUGAAAUUGAAAUCGCUGUGAAGAUGCAGUGUAUCCGCGGCUAGACGGAAAGACCCCGUGAACCUUUACUGUAGCUUUGCACUGGACUUUGAGCCUGCUUGUGUAGGAUAGGUGGGAGGCUUUGAAGCGUGGACGCCAGUUCGCGUGGAGCCAUCCUUGAAAUACCACCCUGGCAUGCUUGAGGUUCUAACUCUGGUCCGUGAUCCGGAUCGAGGACAGUGUAUGGUGGGCAGUUUGACUGGGGCGGUCUCCUCCUAAAGAGUAACGGAGGAGUACGAAGGUGCGCUCAGACCGGUCGGAAAUCGGUCGCAGAGUAUAAAGGCAAAAGCGCGCUUGACUGCGAGACAGACACGUCGAGCAGGUACGAAAGUAGGUCUUAGUGAUCCGGUGGUUCUGUAUGGAAGGGCCAUCGCUCAACGGAUAAAAGGUACUCCGGGGAUAACAGGCUGAUACCGCCCAAGAGUUCAUAUCGACGGCGGUGUUUGGCACCUCGAUGUCGGCUCAUCACAUCCUGGGGCUGAAGCCGGUCCCAAGGGUAUGGCUGUUCGCCAUUUAAAGUGGUACGCGAGCUGGGUUUAGAACGUCGUGAGACAGUUCGGUCCCUAUCUGCCGUGGACGUUUGAGAUUUGAGAGGGGCUGCUCCUAGUACGAGAGGACCGGAGUGGACGAACCUCUGGUGUUCCGGUUGUCACGCCAGUGGCAUUGCCGGGUAGCUAUGUUCGGAAAAGAUAACCGCUGAAAGCAUCUAAGCGGGAAACUUGCCUCAAGAUGAGAUCUCACUGGGAACUUGAUUCCCCUGAAGGGCCGUCGAAGACUACGACGUUGAUAGGCUGGGUGUGUAAGCGUUGUGAGGCGUUGAGCUAACCAGUACUAAUUGCCCGUGAGGCUUGACCAU
rnacentral:rRNA from 1 species